rnacentral:rRNA from 1 species
CCUACGGGUGGCAGCAGUGGGGAAUAUUGGACAAUGGGCGGAAGCCUGAUCCAGCAACGCCGCGUGAGGGAUGACGGCCUUCGGGUUGUAAACCUCUUUCACCGAUGACGAAGCGCAAGUGACGGUAGUCGGAGAAGAAGCACCGGCCAACUACGUGCCAGCAGCCGCGGUAAUACGUAGGGUGCGAGCGUUGUCCGGAAUUAUUGGGCGUAAAGGGCUCGUAGGCGGUUUGUCGCGUCGGGAGUGAAAACCAGGUGCUUAACACCUGGCUUGCUUCCGAUACGGGCAGACUAGAGGUAUGCAGGGGAGAACGGAAUUCCUGGUGUAGCGGUGAAAUGCGCAGAUAUCAGGAGGAACACCGGUGGCGAAGGCGGUUCUCUGGGCAUGACCUGACGCUGAGGAGCGAAAGUGUGGGGAGCGAACAGGAUUAGAUACCCUUG